UACGGAGGGUGCGAGCGUUAUCCGGAAUCACUGGGUUUAAAGGGUGCGUAGGCGGUCCUGUAAGUCAGUCGUGAAAUCGCUGGGCUCAACCCAUGCAAUUGCGAUUGAUACUGUGGGACUUGAAUCGGGUUGAGGCAGGCGGAAUGUGGCAUGUAGCGGUGAAAUGCAUAGAUAUGCCAUAGAACACCGAUUGCGAAGGCAGCUUGCUGGACCUUGAUUGACGCUGAGGCACGAAAGCGUGGGGAGCAAACAGG
rnacentral:rRNA from 1 species